CGCGGCCUAUCAGCUUGUUGGUGAGGUAAUGGCUCACCAAGGCGUCGACGGGUAGCCGGCCUGAGAGGGUGACCGGCCACACUGGGACUGAGACACGGCCCAGACUCCUACGGGAGGCAGCAGUGGGGAAUAUUGCACAAUGGGCGCAAGCCUGAUGCAGCAACGCCGCGUGAGGGAUGACGGCCUUCGGGUUGUAAACCUCUUUUAGCAGGGAAGAAGCGAAAGUGACGGUACCUGCAGAAAAAGCGCCGGCUAACUACGUGCCAGCAGCCGCGGUAAUACGUAGGGCGCAAGCGUUAUCCGGAAUUAUUGGGCGUAAAGAGCUCGUAGGCGGUUUGUCGCGUCUGCUGUGAAAUCCGGAGGCUCAACCUCCGGCCUGCAGUGGGUACGGGCAGACUAGAGUGCGGUAGGGGAGAUUGGAAUUCCUGGUGUAGCGGUGGAAUGCGCAGAUAUCAGGAGGAACACCGAUGGCGAAGGCAGAUCUCUGGGCCGUAACUGACGCUGAGGAGCGAAAGGGUGGGGAGCAAACAGGCUUAGAUACCCUGGUAGUCCACCCCGUAAACGUUGGGAACUAGUUGUGGGGUCCAUUCCACGGAUUCCGUGACGCAGCUAACGCAUUAAGUUCCCCGCCUGGGGAGUACGG
rnacentral:rRNA from 2 species